rnacentral:lncRNA from 1 species
UCCAAUUCUACUUAUCUUCACAUACCAUGCUCGGCUUGUGCCCACACGAGCGAAGGGGUCAAGCAAGCGUUAUUUGUAGACACUAUUGGAAUGCAAAAUAAGAAUUAUACAAAAAUUUAAAAAAUUCUUUAAUUCAUCAAUACAAGAUCAUCUAAGCAUUAACGUGUAUGUUACAUCAAGAAUAUAUCAAUUUUUUUUUACCUAAAUUCAAUAAUUAAUUCUUGAGUGGAUCUGAAUUACAAAUUUUCAACUUUUAAUUCCAAAAACGUGAUAAUCCAAACUUUCAAAUCUUCUAUAAUAUUCUCCAAAUUCAAGACUAUACGAAUAGGACAUCUUCUUUUAAUUAAAUCAAGAAACUAAUUUGAGAAUUUCGAGAUGGACAAAUGAAGAAAAGAAGAAAAUAUUUUAUUCUUUUUUCUUUCUAAAUUUGAACAUCAUGGGAAAAUAUUAUGUCGUGUUUGUACAGGAUUUCUUGAUUGUCUGAUCUAUAUUUAUAGAGAAUAAUUAAAUGAAUUCGGGUGACACCAUCAUGAAAUAAAAGAGUCUAUUUACUAACUUCACAUCAACUUAUAUGCGCAUUGUAGCAAAUGAAGUAAAAUAGUAGAAGUUAUAAGAUAUAUUUCAGCAACAAUCUGUCGCCAGAUAUUUACAAGAAUAUCUAUCCUCCAAAUAACAUAUUCUAUUAUCCAAUAACACCAAAUCUGAAAAAAGAAAGAAAGAAAAAUAAAUAAAGAAAAUACCCUCACCCUAACAAUAUCACAAGGAAAAUGGCUUUGCAUACACGUCGAAAGGUUGGCAGGCAGUCAGCUGCGGUUCCUGUUAGUGAGAAUGAUCAUUAGAAACUCUCAUUUUUUCGAAUUUAAUAAUGUUACGUAGCUCCCUUGAGAUUACAACCUCAAUCUAGGUGACGCUAAAUAAUGGGCAGAAUGAAAUGUGAAAUUAAAUGAUUCAUUUAAUUCUACCAAUCAUGUAAUGUCACCUAAACUAAGUUGUAAUCCAAGUGGAGUUAUAAAGAAUUACUCUUUCAAAUUUCAUGUACAAAAGGACAUAGAAAUCUUUCUUUAGAUGCAAGGAAAAUCAGCAAUAAAGGUGCUAAACGUAAUAUACAUGCAAUUAAAACAAAAUCGAUAUAUAUUUCAUGAUUACUACAUAGGUAAACUCAGUAAUAAGAAAUGGGUAAAAUAUAUCAGGGAAAGUCAGAUGAAUACCAUUAGGCCACGUUCGGCACACUAGAUUAAGCUGUAUAAUAAAUUUAGUAUAAAAUUAUAAUGAAUUAUUAGAUAGAUAGUAUUAUAGUAUAUUAAGGUGGAUAGUAUCCAUCUAUUUUUUAUUCAAAAAAAUUUUGUUUAUGUUACACAGUCGAUAGAGCAAAUGACUAUCUUUUGGAUGAAAAUUAAGAGAACGCUAUCCAUAUUAAUCCAUCAUGUUACCAUCGAUCUAUUAUUAUUCAUUAUAUUUUAUACUAAAUUUCUCAUACGGCCUAAUCCGGUAUACAAAACAUAGUCUUGGUUUUGAUAAAAAAGAAAGCAAAAAAAAAAAAAAAAAAAAACAA